rfam:Branchiostoma floridae genomic scaffold BRAFLscaffold_316, whole genome shotgun sequence.
ACCCCGGCCUUUUUCAAGGCCACCCACAUCCCCACAAAAGAGCUAU